UGCAGCACAAAUAAUUGAAAUCUCUUGCUUUCCUCCAACUAACUAAUUGGCUCUUUGGAUUAGAACAGUUCUUUAUUUGUUCAGCCAUUUCACCAGUACAAAGGGCAUGGAUCUUGUGCAAUGAUUCAGUUACAAGAACGGGUUUGAGUAAGGAAUAUGACUUAAAAUCUCAGAAACAUAAAAGAAGGAAGGAAGCAAGCAAACUGGCAAGAAAGCAGAGACACCAAAUCCUAUAUGGAAGACAUCUGUUCUUACGUAAAGGGGAACAGGAGCCACCCCAGCGGCAGCACGGAGGGCACAUCCUGGGGCGCAGCGGCGAGGGCUCAGCACAGACACCACAGUUUCCUGAGACUUUCAGCACAUUUGCAAACAGUUCCUGGCUGUUGCCUUCCAUCAUGUGGCACUUCCAUCUUGAUAAAGGAAAGCUGUUUGCUCAGCCUGUUGCCUCCUGGACGUGACCAGUGCCCAAGAGCCCAACGCUGUCCCGGCCUCUGGGAGGAGUGGAGUUAAUUGAGCUCUUCCUGAGUCCUGUGCGUUAACCAGGAGAACCAGCCUGGUUACAGGAAGAUGAGAGGAGAUUACAGUCCACAUGUCCAGCUCACUCCGACCAUUAAGUCCCACCAGUUUGUCCACAG